rnacentral:rRNA from 1 species
AUUGAACGCUGGCGGCAUGCCUUACACAUGCAAGUCGAACGGCAGCACGGGUGCUUGCACCUGGUGGCGAGUGGCGAACGGGUGAGUAAUACAUCGGAACGUACCUUAUCGUGGGGGAUAACGCAGCGAAAGCUGUGCUAAUACCGCAUACGCCCUGAGGGGGAAAGCGGGGGAUCGCAAGACCUCGCGCGAUUAGAGCGGCCGAUGCCUGAUUAGCUAGUUGGUGGGGUAAAAGCCCACCAAGGCGAGGAUCAGUAGCUGGUCUGAGAGGACGAUCAGCCGCACUGGGACUGAGACGCGGCCCAGACUCCUACGGGAGGCAGCAGUGGGGAAUUUUGGACAGUGGGGGCAACCCUGAUCCAGCAAUGGCGCGUGAGUGAAGAAGGCCUUCGGGUUGUAAAGCUCUUUUGUCAGGGAAGAAACACCGGCUCUAACACAGUCCGGGAAUGACGGUACCUGAAGAAUAAGCACCGGCUAACUACGUGCCAGCCGCCGCAGUAA